UAUCUGACUGUGGUCCAGAUCUGCACCUGAUAAGAUUUCAGCUCUGCUAGCAAAGCUGUUUUUUCAUCGAUUUACAGAUUUGUUCCAGGUCCGGUUUCCGCAACUCAACCGGAAGUCAGGAGAUGCGUUUAAAAUACAAAACACUAAUUUGGCCCAAACCUGUGAUACGGAUAUGGGCAGAAGGAGCAGGUGGUAAUUGAACAGAGAAGUCAACUAGCUGGCUGCUGUAGAAUAAAAGUUUUUUGUAAUGGCACAAAUUUAGAAACAUGAGGGUGCACUAUGUGCCCAUGGCCACUUCAUUUCUACACCAAAUUUAAGCUAAUUGGCUCAGUAUAUGUGCCAGUUAGACUUUUCAGUGCUGUUUUUCUACAGUCAGCAGAUUUGGGCCAGAUCCACUUACCACAUCAGAACCAAAGCUUCCAGAAAGACAGUUCACUGAUGUGGCCCACAUCUGUAAUAUUGACCCAAACCACCUCCAAACUUGUGUGUUCCACUCUGGUUUACUGAACAGAGCCGAACGCGCGAAGUGAGUGAGGUCCGUCCGUUUGAGAGACGUUAUGCUGAUCUGGCCCUCAUCCGUACCACGGAUUAUAGCCAGAAACCGUUGGAAUAGAUCAAAUGAAACUUUUGUGGGGGUGCCCAUGCCAUAUUUCGUUUUUAAAUCCUGAUUUGUUAAAUCUUACAAUGGAACACUUGCACGUAGCCUACACAAAAAUGAUUAAUUCACUAACAAAGUAAUAGGCUUGUCUCAAAAUGGAAGAUUUACCACAUAACAAAAUAAUACAUUAGCAACUGUCCACUAUCCAAGUGCAAUGGUCCAAGCUGUAUUGCCAUCCUGGGAAGAAAAAAAAGUUGCGAACAUCGUGGGAAAAAACGGCACUGGCGCACAUAAUGGAUGGCAACAUGGGUGCAUUUAUAGUCCAUCAUGACAUAAAAAAUCCUCUGCAUGCAACCACGAGGAGAGGGGGAAUUUACUAAGGAGUUUUGUCUAUAUAUUAUAUAAAAUCUACUGUUGGGAAGAGCAGAACCUAAUCCAAAUAAAAAUAAACAAGCUGUUAAAAGCCAGUUGAAGGUGGUCAACACAAACCAAAUGAAGAUGUUGCACAUUUCACAAACAAUAAAAAAGAAGAUCAAGUUUUGUGUCCAACACACUUGGAUGAGACGUGCCCGACCCCUGACUUUGUCUACCCUACAUUAAGUUGUGAUGGCACACUUCAUGACAGUAAACAUCGGUAUCAAUAUGAUGUGAUUGAUCUAUACCCUAGAAUAAGCUGUGACACUAUGAGACGGUGACAUAAUGAACAGCCAUCUUCCAGACAACCGAAACAGUAUUGUCUACAAUACCAAAUUCUGGAUUGACGCCCCAGUACCAGAAGGCACUCCAAUCCCAGAGAGCAUCCCAUUGUGAGGUAACACAACGAAAAAAUAACAGGAUGGAGACUACCUGAUUCUUCACCUAUGGCCUUAGCUUCAAAUGCAAGAAGUCCAGCAACUGUCUGAGCUGGUGGAUAUUCUAUCAGAGACUGCAUGAACAACGUUAUGAACAGAAUGAUGUCUAAUUGUUUUAUGGCAAAGUUCAAUAUGAGGGGUGGUGGACAUCUGGAAAAUAAGUCUUUUAAAGGCACACCUUUGUAUUAUGUUAUUCAAGAUGCUGUGAGGAGGUGGAGCCCAAAAGCCACGGACUCGGAAAUCGAUGCAGCUAUGGCAGACCACCUCAAGCACACUCCAGGAAGAGAGCUAGGGGUUGUGAAUACAAAAAAUAAGCCAAACAGAUGUAAUGUGUUAGAGAUAGUUCACACAAAAAUGAAAAUUGUUAUAAUUUUCUUACCCACGUGUUUCAAACCUGUAUACAUUUCUAUUUUUUGCUGAACACAAAGAUUGAAUAAUGUUUGUAACCAAGCAUUUCUCACAACCCAUUAACUGUCAUAAUCAUUUUUUUACAAUUGUAGUAAUGGGUUGUGAGAUCUGCUUUUUUAAAAACAUUCUUUCAAAUAUCUUUGUGUUCCGCAGAACAUAGAAAGGUAUACAGGUUUGAAACAUGAGAGGGAGUAAAUGACUAAAUAUUCAUUUUUGGGUGAACUAUCCCUUUAUAUAAUAAAGUAUUUUGAAAUUGUUAUUAUAGUUAAAAAAAUAAAAGUCUUAAAUCAGAACAUGCUUCUUUUUUGCUCAUGUCCACAAAUAAUGUGUUCUUUAAUGUGUUUAAUGCCUAAAGACCUACACCAAGCAACAAGUGCUAUGGUUGUUAGCUUAUAUACAUUCUGAAAAUUUCAUGUGUACUUUAUGUGAAUGGAGGCCUAUGAUUAUUGCUUCUGACUGUAGGGUAAUUAAAUAUAAGGUAGCCUAAACACAUGAAAGACUAAACAUCACAUAGGCCAUAAAUCCCAAAAAUAAGGCAUAGCUGGCAUUGAUCUGGUACGCGGAUCUGUGCCGCAUCUCUAUGCGGGACUGGGCCAGCUCUGUUCCAUUUCCAGUUCAGAUUCGUGAAACUGAUCCUGACCACUUCUUGGCCGAUGUGCGUUUGGACACUGGACCGUGUUAGUUAAACGGAUCUGAUGCGGAUGGAACGGUAUGUGUGGGCCAGCUCCACCCCAGUGUUGUUUUACUGUUUUGGUACGAGAGUGGGCCAGGGCUGACCCAUCUCUGGUGCAGAGCCAUGAAACAAAUCCUGAUCACUUUUGGCCCGUUGUGCAUUUGGACACUGGACCAUGUCCGUGAGAUGGAUCCGGGGUGGAUCGCAUGGUAGGUGUGGGCCAGAACCACCCCAGUGU